AUUGAACGCUGGCGGCAGGCCUAACACAUGCAAGUCGAACGAGCGGCGGACGGGUGAGUAAUGUCUGGGGAUCUGCCCGAUGGAGGGGGAUAACUACUGGAAACGGUGGCUAAUACCGCAUACUAUCGGAUGUACCCAUAUGGGAUUAGCUAGUGGGGGGGGUAACGGCUCACCAAGGCGACGAUCCCUAGCUGGUCUGAGAGGAUGAUCAGCCACACUGGAACUGAGACACGGCCCAGACUCCUACGGGAGGCAGCAGUGGGGAAUAUUGCACAAUGGGCGCAAGCCUGAUGCAGCCAUGCCGCGUGAAUGAAGAAGGCCUUCGGGUUGUAAAGUUCUUUCAGUAGGGAGGCGUUAACUACAGAAGAAGCACCGGCUAACUCCGUGCCAGCCGCCGCGGUAAUUC
rnacentral:rRNA from 1 species